CAGAUUUCUGACGGUCUCCCUGCCAGUCCCAUUGAGCUGCAUUAUUAGACUGCUGUCUCGUGGCUCACAAAAGGCUUCAAUACACCAUUCAGAACCCGUGCAGAACCUUCCAUCAAACGCGGUCAUUAUCUGAGGCGAGGCGCGUCGCUUAAGCACGAGACUAAAUAGACUUCAAAAACAUAACAUCGAUUUUAUUGCAGAAACCAUAACUCUCCGACACGAAACGGAAAAUGAAACAAUGUCCUGAUUUUUUGAACAACAAGAGGGUGUGUUUCUUUUUUCUCUCUUUCCUUGCAGACAAUUCAUCAGGCGUUCGUCCAAAUAUCGCAGUGGUCCUCCUGAUUCAGUGUCUCUCCGCCGGCCCCGGGUCAGAGCUGCGGCGUCCACCCACGGGCUGAUUUAUCGCGGCCGGGGUUACGCUCAGAGAGGAGAGCAGAGGAGGUGCUGCGGAGAGAUCUCCUCCUAAACCUCAGCAUGCCAAGAGGAGGCGCAGAGAGGAUGGAAGGCAGGGGAGACGGAGGUGCAGUAUAAAGACAACCCCUGCCUCCCCAAACCCAGGGCACGGCACACCCACACCGACGCAGACCCAAACUCCCUCGCCCUCUAUGCCGCUAAACUUGGCUGCGUGACAUUCAUCAAGCUCCCCUUCUCUCUGUGUACCGUGGACCUAAAUACAUCCCAGGUCCCAGGCCCUGCGAGGCCCAGACCCAGCCACGCAACCAGUCCCCCCCCCGCACCCGGGCCUCUGUGUUCCAUCACCAUUAGAGGUGACCCCCAUACCGGGAAGAACAGGAGAGGAGUGGAGAGGGAAGGGCCGAAAGGGAGGAGAGGAGUGAGAGGAGCGAGAGGAGUGAGAGGAGAGGAGAAGGCAGGGCCGAAAGGGGAUGGAGGAGGGAGUACGACAUUAAAAGGUAUAGGGAGGAGAAGAGGGGAUGGGGAAGGAGACAGAGAUGAGCGAUGACACGACGGGAAAGAGACGAAAGACAGGAGAGAGAGGGGAUAUCGGGGAACAGGCCGCGAAGGAAAGGAAAGGAGAUAAGAG
ensembl:lncRNA